rnacentral:rRNA from 1 species
GGUUGAUCCUGCCAGUAGUCAUAUGCUUGUCUCAAAGAUUAAGCCAUGCAUGUCUAAGUAUAAGCAAUUUAUACAGUGAAACUGCGAAUGGCUCAUUAAAUCAGUUAUAGUUUAUUUGAUAGUAUCUUUCCUAUACGGUUAACCUGGGAAAAGCUCAUGCUACUACGUGCUAACAACCUCGACUGUUAUGGAAGAGGUGUAUUUAGUAGAUAAAAAAUCAAUGUCUUCGGACUCUUUGAUGAUUCAUGCUAACUUUUCGAAUCGCAUGGCCUUUGUGCUGGCGAUGGUUCAUU